rnacentral:lncRNA from 1 species
CAAUAUUGUUUAGUUGGAGACAGGGCCGACCCUAGGGCAGGUCAAACUGGGCGACCGCCCUAGGCCCCAGGCCUGGACCUUGUAUCGAUGUUCCAAUAGGGUGCAAAGAUGACUUUCUACAAUAUUAUAACAAGAAAAAUAAUUAAAUAGGUUAAUGAUGAGUUUUAUACACUGCUUAACGAAUAUAUCUAUAGAAAAUCAUUGCACGU